GACGAACCGUGCGAACGUUGUUCGGAAUCACUGGGCAUAAAGGGCGCGUAGGCGGUUCGUUAAGUCGGAUGUGAAAGCCCUCGGCUCAACCGAGGAAGGGCAUCCGAAACUGGCGUGCUUGAGUACGGAAGAGGGUCUCGGAAUUCCCGGUGUAGAGGUGAAAUUCGUAGAUAUCGGGAGGAACACCAGUGGCGAAGGCGGAGACCUGGGCCGAUACUGACGCUGAGGUGCGAAAGCGUGGGGAGCAAACAGG
rnacentral:rRNA from 1 species